rnacentral:rRNA from 1 species
CGGUGGAUGCCUAGGCAGUUAGAGGCGAUGAAGGACGUGUAAGUCUGCGAAAAGCUGUGGUGAGCCGACAAAAUGCAUUUGAGCCACAGAUGUCCGAAUGGGGAAACCCAGUGCAUUUAUGCACUAUCUGCAACUGAAUACAUAGGUUGUAGAGGCAAACGAGGGGAACUGAAACAUCUAAGUACCCGGAGGAAAGGAAAUCAAUUGAUACUCCCCUAGUAGCGGCGAGCGAACGGGGACCAGCCGAGCCAUGAAUGUGACUAGAACGACCUGGAAAGGUCGGCCAUAGCGGGUGACAGCCCCGUAUAGGAAGCACGAUUGGACGUAUUAAGUAGGGCGGGACACGUGAAAU